rnacentral:lncRNA from 1 species
GGCAUAUGGAGGUUUCCAGACUAGAGGUCUAAUCGGAGCUGUAGCCACCAGCCUACACCAGAACCACAGCAACAUCAGAUCCGAGCCACGCCUGUGACCUACACCACAGCUCACGCAACGCUGGAUCCUUAACCCACUGAGGGAAGCCAGGGAUCAAACCUGAAACCUCAUAGUUCCUAGUCAGAUUUGUUAACCACUGAGCUGACGGGAACACCAAGAAAAUUUUUUUAAAUUAAGAAAAUAAAUACUUGAAUUUUCAAAACAUACAAAAACAUUACAAAUUAUGAAAUACUUAGGGACAAACAUAAAAAAGUAAAAAGACCUAUACACUGAACAGUACAAAACAGUGCUGAAAUUUUCAAAGGACUAAACUACUAGAAAGAUAUAUACCUUGUUCAUGGAUCAGAAGAUGUGAUGAUAUUGGAACAGACAAGUCACUAAAAAAGAUACAUAGAUAGCAAAGAGUUCCCACUGUGGCGUGACAGGAUUGGCAGUGUCUCUGGAGCACUAGGACAUAGGUUCAAUCCCCAGCCCAGCACAGUGGGUUAAGGAUCCGGCGUUGCCAUGAGCUGUGGUGUAGGUUGCAGACUCGGCUCGGAUCCCACGUUGCUGGGGCUGUGGCUCUGGCGUAGGCCGGCGGCUACAGCUCCAACUACACCCCUAGCCUGGGAACCUCCACAUGCCAAGGGAGCAGCCCUAGAAAAGGCAAAGAGACCAAAUAAAUAAAUAAAUAAAAAUAAUAAUAAUAAUGGAAUGCCACUACAGACCUGUUAGAAUGGAAAAAUUUUAAAGACUGACACAGCUAUCUUUACAGUGCGAUAGACUUGUAAAACGACUGAUCAUGUCAAAUGCUAGAGAGGAUGUGGAGGAACGUGUUUCAGACACUGCUGGUGGAAAUGUAAAAUGGUACAAUCACUAUGCAAAACAGUUUUAACAGUUUUUUAGAAAGCUAACCAUAUACCAAUCAUACUGUCCAACAAUUCCACUCGUUUCUCCAAAGACUUAAGGAUGGCCUAAGGAGGCACGUGAAAAAGUGCUCAACAUCACUAAUCAUUAGAGAAAUGCAAAUCAAAACCACAAUGAGGUACCACCUCACAGCAGUCAGAAUGUCUGUCCUUAGUAAGUCUGUAAGUAACAAAUGCUGGAGGGGAUGUGGAGAAAAGGGAACAGUCCUACACCAAUGACUGGAAUGUAAAUCGGUACCCCUAUGGAAAACAGUAUGGGUUCCUCAAAAAAACUAAAUAUAGAACUACCACAUGAUCCAGCAAUCCCACUCCUGGACAUUUGUCUGGACAAAAUUAUAAUGCAAAGACAUGCACGUACCCCUAUGUUCACUGCAGCACUAUUCAUAACAGCCAAGAAACAGAAACAACUAAAUGUCCAUCAACAGAUGAAUUAUCAUGAUGUGAUACCUAUACACCAUGGAACACUACUCUGCCAUAAUAAAAACGAAACUGCCACUUGCAGCAAAAUGGAUGCAAUCAGAGAUAAGCAUACUGAGUGAAAUCACUUACAUACACAAUCUAAAAUACGGCAGAGGGAGUUCAUGUCAUGGCUCAGAGGUAACGAAACUGUGUAGGAACCAUGAGGAUGUGGGUUUCAUCUGUAUCUCGCUCAGAGGGCCAAGGAUCCAAAUUGCCAUGGGCGUGGUUUAGGUCUCAGACUCAGCUCAGAUCCGGUGUUGCUAUGGCUGUAGCAUAGGCCAGUAGCUGUAGCUCCAAUGUGAACUCUAGCCUGGAAACCUCCAUAUGCCAUGGCUACAGCCCUAAAAAGCAAAAUAAGUAAAUAAAUAAAAUAGGGCAGAAAUAAACCAACCUACAAAACGGAGACUCACAGACAUAAAGAAAAGACUUGUUGUUGCUAGGUGGAUGGGUAAGGGUAGGAGGAGUGGGGCGGACUGGGAGGUUGGGGUUAGUAGAUGCCAACUAUUACAUUUAGGAUAGAUAAGCAAUGAGUCCCUACUGUUCAGUACAGGGAACUAUAUCCAGUCUCUGGGAUAGAACAUGAUGAAAAGUAAUAUAAAGGAAAUGUAUAUACAUGUGUGUGUAUAUAUAGGUAUGUAUGUAUUAACUGGGUCACUUUGCUCUACAGCAGAAAAUGGCACACUGUAAAACAACAACUAUAAUUUUUUAAAGUUAAUAAACAUUACGAUUUAAAAAUUUUUUAAUUAAAAAAAGACUUGUCCACAUUCAUAGUAGCUUUAUUAGUAGAAGACAAAAAACUGCAACAAUCCAAACAUCCAUCAAUAGGUGAAUAUCAACAAACUGUGGUAUAAUAAUUCCCAGCUAAUAAAAGGAAUAAAUUAUUGAUACCAGCAACAUGAAUCAAUCUCAAAAAAAUUACGAAAUCAGACCAUGUCCCUCUGGGGGGAAAAAAAAAAAGAGUACAUAACUAUAUGAUGAUAUAUAAAAUUCUAGAAAAUGCAAACUAAUGUAAAAUAACAGAAAAGCAGAUUAGUGGUUGCUUUAGAAUCAAAGGAAGGAAAAAUAGGAGGGAGGAAACUACAAACUACAGCAAGCAAAGUUUUGAGGUUGACGGCUAUAUUGACAAUCCUCAUUAUGAUAGUUUUACAAGUGCACACAUGUCAUAACUUCUCAAAUCUAGACUUCAUAUACAUGCCGUUAUAAGUCAAAUAGAGCUGAUUUUUUUUUUGGGGGGGGGUUGUCUUUUUAUGGCCACACCUGCAGCAUAUGGAAGUUCCCAGGCUAGGGGUAAAAUUAGAGCUGUCACUACUGCUGAGCCAGACCACUGCCACAGCAAUGCCAGAACCCUAACAACCCCCUACGUGAGGCCUGGGAUCGAACCCACAUCCUCAUGGUUCCUAGAUGGGUUGGUUACCACUGAGCCUUGACAGCAACUCCUACAGCUGAUUUUUGAAAGGAAAAGUUUUAUCUUUCAGAAAAUUUCUAAAGACAGGCAAAUGCAAAUACAAUUUUCCUAUUUUAUACAUAUAAAUUAUGUAUAUUAUGUAUCUUACUAUUCUCAUUUAAUAUUGUACGCAAAUAUCUUUCUAUAGUAGUAUAACUGUUUCCCCCUCCCCCCUUUUUUUGGUCUUUUUAGGGCCCCACCGAAGGCAUAUAGAGGAUCCCAGGCUAGGGGUCGAAUUGGAGCUGUACCUGCUGGCCUACGCCACAGCCACAGCCACAGCCACACUGGAUCUUAAACCCACUGAGCAAGGCCAGGGACUGAACCUGCGCCCUCAUCAACAUUAGGUUCAUUAACCACUGAGCCACGAGAACUCCCAUCUCUUUUUUAAACAGAAACAUACUGUGUAUAGUAACAAUGAACCACAACUGACAGGAAUUUGGGUUAUUUCUAAUUUGCUACUAUAAUAAUAAAAUGAACAUAUUUUGCAUAUAUUUGUAAGCAUAUACAUAAAAGCACAAGAUGCAUUUAUUUAAAUCUCUGUAUUGUCCUAUCUCAGGAUCUACAUAAACUGUUGGAAUUAAUAAGUUAAUUUAGCAAGAAUAUUACUGCUGUAAGUAGCAACUAGAAAAGAAAAAAAAUUCAAUACUACAUAAAAUAACACCAAAAAAAAAAUCAAAAUGCCUAGAAAUAAAUCCACAAAAAAAGUACCUCUACAUAGAAAACCACAGAAUAUUAUUGGAAAAAUUAAAGAUCUAAAUAAAUGAAGAAUAUACUAGGUGUUCCCACUGUGGCUCAGCACAAACAAAUCUGACUAGUAUCCAUGAGGACGCAGGUUCAAUCCCUGCCUGGCCUUGCUCAGUGGGUUAAAGUUUCUUUGUGGCUGUGAGCUGUGGUAUAGGUCACAGAGACGGCUUGGAUCUGGCGUUGCUGUGGCAUAGGCUGAUGGCUACAGUUCCUGAUUCAGCCCCUAGCUUGGGAACCUCCAUAUGCUGCAGGUGCGACCCUAAAAAGACAAAAAAAGAAAAAAACUCUAUACUAUGUUCAUGGAUUAAAGAACAUAGUUAUGAAAAAAUACUAAUUCUUCCCAAGUUUACUUACAGAUUCAAUAAAAUCUAAUCAAAAUCCCAGAUUUUUGUUGUUGCUAUUCUACUACUGAAAUUGACAAGUUGAUUCUAAAUUGUAUAUGGAAAUGCAAAGUCAAGAAUAAACAGUACAGGGGCUCCUGUUGUGGCACAGCAAAAACAGAUCUGACUAGUAACCAUGAGGUUGCAGGUUCCAUCCCCGGCGUUGCUCAGUGGGUUAAGGAUCUGGCGUUGCCAUGAGCUGUGGUGUAGCCCAGAAUCUGUAGCUCCAAUUCAUCCCCUUAGCCUGGGAACCUCAACCUCCAUAUGCCAUGGGUACGGCCCUAAAAGCCAAAAAAAAAAAAAAAAAAAAAAAAAAAAA